UACCCACAUUAUUUCCCUAUUCCCAAGUACAGUUCAAAUACUCUAAGCUCCCAACCUAGUCCCCAUCCUAACUAAAUGGGUUUGCACUCAAACCAAUUAAACCAUUAGGUCCCAACUGUCCCCAAAAGUCCAGACAGAUUUUACUAUUCGCCAUAAAUGUUGGCACCUCCAAAAACUCCCACUCCUCAAUUUUCCUCCUUUCCACCUUAAUUCCAAGUCUCAUGUCCUGCAAGGGAACUCUCCCUUCAGUCAGUUCAAAACCACCCUGUACCCAGUCAACACCUUUCUCAAAUUCAGAAGUGUCAUCAUAAAAUAAAUUCAUCAAGUGAAUACUACAUCGCUUCUCCAGUUUUCUCUACAUUAUAAAGAAAAACAUUGUUUCUUCGGAACACAACAUAAUUCUGGCGACGAGGAUUGGGAUGUCCAGCACUCUAAAGCAGUGAAUUGAAGUGGAACUGGCAAUUCUACCCUGUGGACCGAGUGGCAGCUAUCAAGUUGCUGAGAACGUGGACAUCGUUGGAGACAAACUGAAGGACUAUCGCGAGCUAAGGAAAUCUCUGCAGUUUGGUUGAACACACUGGAACUAGCAACUCCAGCACCGAUCGCAACGAAUCGUUUCCGCAAUGAAUCAAACAAUCCUGAUUCUAUUCCUACUUCCUCUCCUAAUUAAUUGUAAAGACUUUUAUUCUUUUUAUCCUUUUGAAAAUACAAGUGGUAUCUUUUAUAAUAAAAAGGGAAUCGUUCAAAUCACUAACUCCAAAUUAACUCUUCUCACUUAUCUCAAUAGAACUCAUCUCAGAGACACAUUCGAUAUCAUUAAUAAAUAUUUAAGUAAAACUGAAGAAAUUUGUAAACAGACGACGAAUGAAAUUACUAAAAAGAGUAAUAUCAGUUUCCAUUGUGAUCAUUCAAUUGAUCUUAUUAAAUCAGAAAUGACAGAAAUUAAAAUAAAGAAUGAUAUUCUUCGACAAAUGACUGAGAGAUCAAUUAUCAGAAGAAAGAAACGUGGUCUCAUCAAUGGAUUGUCUUAUAUAUUCAAAUGGAGUUUCGGCAUGCCUAACGCAGACGAUGCCCAAUAUUAUGAAAAUUCAAUAAAAAUGUUGACAAAUAAUAACAAACAAACACAGACAUUGCUGAAAUCACAAGUUCAAAUAAUUGCAAACGCAAUUAGAAAUUUCAAUAACUCCUUGUUUUCCCUUGAGAGUCAAGAGAAAGCAAUGAAUGAAAAUAUUCAGAAAAUUAAUUCUUUCACCGCCCAGACAAACUCUUACAUAUCUCAUUUAGAAAUGAUAACGACACUCAAUCAACAAAUCACUAUACUCCAUAUACUUGUUACUCAAGCAAACCGCGAAUUUUCUAAGUAUAUCGAAGCUGUUAAUUUAGCUGACCAUAAUAUCGUCUCUCCUUUUCUCCUAACCCCACAAAUGUUACAUGACGAGUUAAAAAGAUACAAAAAUAUCCACGAACUAAUAAUGGACCCAAAUUUAGAAAAUAUCCAUCACUUUUUCAAGCUUUUACAUUUACAAAUUAUGUCUACAAAAGACAAUAUCAUUUUUGCAUUACAAAUCCCACUUGUGGACAAAAUGAAAUUUGAACUCUAUGAAAUAAUCCCAAUUCCUAUCCAACAUAAUAAUUCACAAUUUUUCUCCUACAUUAUGCCUCAAAGCAAUUACCUCCUAUUAUCACAAUCUCGAUCCCAAUACACUUUCCUUAACGGAUUGUCUGAUUGUCAUGAGUACCAAGAUGAACAAUACAUCUGCUAUCACCUGCAUACGAUGACUUCAACUAGCAAUCCAACGUGUGAAAUCGAGCUGCUAUCUCCACAUACGACAAAGAUUCCAGCAUCAUGUACAACUAAAACCAUCAAGGCAACCAUCGAAACCUGGCAUCAUAUCGGAAGGAAUCAAUGGAUUUAUAUCCUCCAGAAACCAACAACGCUUACGAUUAUGUGCGGAGAGAAUGAAAAUCACCUAGAAGAUGUCAUUCUCCAAAAGAGUGGAUUAAUCCAAUUGGAACCCGAAUGCCGAGGUUACACAGACCAGAUCGUCAUUGAAUCAACACGCGACAGCACGAAAAACACGACUUAUUAUAUUCCUCAUAUGAAUAUAAUCGCUGACGACUGUUGUAUCCUGCAGACUCAUUUCAGUACCAUUGAGUCCAUUACGCUGAAGCCAAUUCAUCUAACCAACAUCGACCUCAAGGACCUCCAGAUAGCUGAUAAAAAACUCAACGAGUUCGACGAAAUUAUCACAAAACAAAUGAACGAACCAUUCAUUGUCACCCAUACUAGAUGGUAUAAUGUCGCCCUUGGGAUCAUCGCAGCAUUCAUCAUUAUUAUCAUUAUUUUUCGUUGCUGCAAAUGUUUUGGACAAAUUGAUUUUUUCCAUCGUCUCCGUUAUCCUAUUACGAAUCCGAGGAACCGUGAAACGAAUCCUCCACUCAUCAGUAAUUUCGUGAAUUGUAUUUUUGACUCAUCAGAACCAUCAUCUACAUCAGUCAAUGAAAUAGUGACCUACCGACCAAGACAGGAUGUACCUGCUGUCCCUCAUCGAAUACCUGAAAUUUCGGAUGACGACGAAGUCCCACCAAUUAUUCGUUUUCCAACGCGCCAACGACCUCGUAGAAGCACAACACCAAUUUAAUUUAAUAUUUAAACUUUUUGAAUUCACAUCUAAUCUUUUAAGCACAUUUACAUUUGACUAAAUCUUAGAGUCUUUUAUCAGUUACGAAUCUUAGAUUUACAAUUCUAUCAAUUAAUUCAUCUAUUAUUGUAAUUCAAAAUAUCUUAUUCAAUUUUAUGAUUUAUCCUUUAUAAUUCAAUGUAUGUUAUUCAAUUUUAUGAUUUAUCCUUUAUAAUUCAAUUUAUCUUGUUCGAUUUUAUGAUUUAUCUUUUAUAAUUCAAUAUUAUUAUAAUUCAAUGUAUCUUAUUCAAUUUUAUGAUUUAUCCUUUAUAAUUCAAUUUAUCUUAUUCGAUUUUAUGUUUUAUCUUUUAUAAUUCAAUAUUAUUGUAAUUCGAUGUAUCAUUUGUUAACUCUCCGUUAACAAACUUAAGGAGGAAGGUGUUGUAUACCCACAUUAUUUCCCUAUUCCCAAGUACAGUUCAAAUACUCUAAGCUCCCAACCUAGUCCCCAUCCUAACUAAAUGGGUUUGCACUCAAACCAAUUAAACCAUUAGGUCCCAACUGUCCCCAAAAGUCCAGACAGAUUUUACUAUUCGCCAUAAAUGUUGGCACCUCCAAAAACUCCCACUCCUCAAUUUUCCUCCUUUCCACCUUAAUUCCAAGUCUCAUGUCCUGCAAGGGAACUCUCCCUUCAGUCAGUUCAAAACCACCCUGUACCCAGUCAACACCUUUCUCAAAUUCAGAAGUGUCAUCAUAAAAUAAAUUCAUCAAGUGAAUACUA